UCCAAGAGCAUGCCAAUGAGGAAUCCAUAUCUGAAGGUCACCAUGAAGGAAAUGAUAGAAGACCUAUACAGAUUAAAGAAGAGUUACCAAAGCUAUCCAUCAUCUGAAGAAAGAAGAAGCAGCAGAAAUGAGCAAGAAACUACAUCAUUGAUGCUUAACACUUGCCACCAAAUGUUAAACGCUUGAUUUGGAGAAGAUCUGGAAGCUGUCCUUAGAGCAGCAGAACAACCUGAAGAUAUGUUCAAGCAACAGCAUUGAAAAGGCUUCCAGAAACAACUGCUGUGUUUUUUAUGAUUGACGAUUUUAAUGUUUUUUUAAAAUGUUUUUAUGUUGCAAGCUGCCCAGAGUCAUUGGAUAUGAGAUGGGCGGUGAAUAAAUUUCAUACUAAAUAAAGAAAUAAAAAUUUCUGAGA